rnacentral:SRP_RNA from 1 species
UGGUGGGCUAGCCCGGGUGGUUCGGCGUCACCUGUGACCCGAAAUCGCCGAGAUGCGGGGGGCGAAGUCCGAGGGCGUCAGAGAGGCAGCGGAGAAGUCCCCGGUGGAACGUUGAAUUCCCGUCCCUCUUGGCCGGUGUGUGAUGGAGGGGCUGUCUGGAGAGGCGGUUCCUCCAUCUUAACUGCGCGAACCGGUUCAGGCCCGGAAGGGAGCAGACCAAAGCGCAGGCAACCGGCGCUUGAGGGGUCGCGGGAAGGAGAACCAUCGGGGGGAGCUUCUCUGCUGUUUUCUCUGGCCACCGAGGACGCGCCCACCA